ACAACAAAAACAGUCCUUCUCAGUACUAUACCAACCUGGACGAUCUACAUUUAGAAACAUGUAACGAUACUCCCGUGUUCAAAACCAUUUACUUUUAAAGUAUAAAU